GAUGAACGCUGGCGGCGUGCCUAACACAUGCAAGUCGAGCGAACAGACGAGGAGCUUGCUCCUCUGACGUUAGCGGCGGACGGGUGAGUAACACGUGGAUAACCUACCUAUAAGACUGGGAUAACUUCGGGAAACCGGCGCUAAUACCGGAUAAUAUAUUGAACAGCAUGGUCCAAUAGUGAAAGACGGUUUUGCUGUCACUUAUAGACGGAUCCGCGCCGCAUUACGUAGUUGGUAAGGUAACGGCUUACCAAGGCAACGUUGCGUAGCCGACCGGAAGGGGUGAGCGGCCACACUGGAACGAAGACACGGUCCAGACUCCUAGGGACGGCAGCGAUAGGAAAUCUGCCGCAAGGGGCGAAAGCCUGACGGAGCAACGCCACAGGAGUGAUGAGGGUCUUCGGGUGGUAAAACACUGUUAUUGGGGAGGAACAAAUGUGUAAGAAACUAUGACAGUCUUAAGGUAACCGAAGCAGAAGGCCACGGCUACCUAGGG
rnacentral:rRNA from 1 species